UAUUGGCGUGAGUGACAUCAGCGAGCCCGCUUUCUUCUACGGUUGCCUCAAAGCGGACACACUAACACGGAGAUUCACUACUGCCACUCCAUGUUCAACUACAACCUUUUCACCAUGACGUUACACGUGACGUGCAGACUAUAAGGCAAGCACCACAGCAUGGAGAGAAACCUUCGAUGACGUCAUAGAAUAUUGAAAAAAUUUGUCUUUUGGAGAUGCAGAAAGAGCUCACAGAUGAGUAAACUUCAAUUGGGAGUGACAGACGGCAAGAAACAAAUAUGAUUUGCCUCUUCUUUGGAGAACUGCGCUAACGAGAGAAUGAGAAGAGGCAGUAAGGAAUACUUUAAAAAGACACAAGAUACAAAUCAAGUUCCUUUGACCCCAUUGUCCUCUCCACACUCCGACUCCCCCAAAGGCGAUACUCUGGCAACUGGUGUAUGGACUGCUGUGUUUCGGCUCCGUCCACCCGCAAGGGGAGCCGAGCUAGUGCGCCAUCCCAAGGGUGAUCCAGUCGGAGAGACAGCAUCCAGGACUCAGGACGGUCCCCCAGUCCCGCUGAACCAGGCCCCAAGAGAGGGCCACUCCACCCGCCAACCAGUAAACCAAUAAAAUGUAUUUUCUUCAUCUUUUCACACUUGAUAAAACAUUUUUUACACAUGAUCAAACAAUUUUUUUGUGUAAUUGUCUAAUGAAGAACGUAUUUCUGAAUUAUGUUUGUCUUUAGAUGUUUUGAAAAGAAUACAAAACUUCUAAGAUCUGGUCGUGCUUGCGUUCCACUUGACUGCAACAAUAUAUUGGUUAAUAAAAAUGUUUUAAAAAUAUAUAUUAAUAUUAAACUUCUGUUGUAUUCAGACAACAUACUCCUCUUGUGUUACUGGAGACUGUCCAAGAGUCACUAAUCACAGAAGA